rnacentral:rRNA from 1 species
AGUGAACGCUGGCGGUAGGCCUAACACAUGCAAGUCGAACGGAAGCACAGUAAGAGCGCGCUCUUACGGGUGGCGGGUGGCGGGUGGGUGAGGCAUAGAUAGCCAUCCACUUUUACGUGGAGGAUUACGUGAGGCAACAUCUGAUACUACAGAAUACGUUCAACGGCUGAAUGCAGAGGAUAUUCGGACUUUGGGUGUUUCUUUGAGCCGAUGUCGGAUUAGCUAGUUGGCGAGGUAAAGGCCCACCAAGGCAACGAUACGUAGCAGAUCUGAGAGGAUGAUCGGCCACACUGGAACUGAGACACGGUCCAGACUCCUACGGGAGGCAGCAGUAGGGAAUAUUGGACAAUGGGCGCAAGCCUGAUGCAGCCAUACCGCGUGAGUGAAGAAGGCCUUCGGAUCGUAAAGCCCUUUUAUUGGGAAAGAAAAGCUGCAGAUUAAAACCCGGACGUUCUGACGGUACCCAAAGAGUAAGCACCGGCUAACUUCGUG